GCACACGUCAGCGGCGACUCUGAAUGGUCGACCCCGAUGGCCUCUGUUUCGCGAUUCCACGGCAAAGGCACUUUAACUGUUGUGGGACAAGGCACGUCCGACGCGUGACGUCAGAGGACGCAGACGGCCGUCACGCAGCGCAGCGCGAGGAAACUGCGGAGAGCCGGAACCGGGAGAAUCUCCAGAAACCUUACCUACUGCCCCAGCCUACCCCCUCAGCUACCAAAUGGCAGACACAAAGCGUAUCGCAUUCUCCAUCAUUCAGUUUCUCCAUGACCAGCUCAACUCGGGGGACUUAUCUUCAGAUGCACAGGAAAGCCUGGAAGUUGCAAUCCAGUGCCUGGAGACGGCCUUUGGAGUCUCCCUUGAGGAUCAGAGCCUAGCAGUGAUGCAGACGCUCCCAGAGCUCUUUGUCUCAGCCACAAACAAGCCGGAGACACCGCAGGUACAGAUCAAUGCCGUCCCAGACACCCCCACAGAGGAGGACAUUGCCGAAGCAGAGAGGCUCAAAACAGACGGUAAUGACCAGAUGAAGGCAGAGAAUUUUGGUCCUGCAGUGGAGUUCUACUCAAAAGCCAUAGAGCUAAAUCCCCGCAAUGCGGUGUACUUCUGCAACAGGGCUGCUGCAUACAGCAAGCUGGGGAACUAUGCUGGAGCUGUGCAGGACUGUGAGCAAGCCAUCACUAUAGACCCCAACUACAGCAAAGCCUACGGCCGAAUGGGGCUCGCUCUGGCUAGUUUAAACAAACACUCAGAAGCGGUCAGUUACUACAAGAAAGCUUUGGAACUCGACCCUGAAAACGAUACCUAUAAAUCCAACCUGAAAAUAGCAGAGCAAAAAAUGAGAGAGAUGCCAAGUCCGACAGGGGGAAUGGGUGGAGCUGACCUAGCAGGAUUGCUUAGCAACCCUGGCUUCAUGAACAUGGCAUCAAGUCUGAUGAACAACCCUCAAGUUCAACAGCUGAUGUCUGGGAUGAUGUCGGGGGCCUACGGGCCAAUGGGAGCAACGGCAGGAGGCGGCCCAGGCCCAAAUGACCUCUCUGGGCUUAUCCAAGCGGGUCAGCAGUUUGCCCAGCAGAUGCAGCAGCAGAACCCAGAGCUGAUUGAGCAGCUGAGGAGCCAAAUCCGGAGUCGGACGCCGAGCGCCAGCAACGAGGAGCAGCCCUGACAGGGACGGGUGAGGGAAGACCUGCUCUUUACCCCACCUGUAGGGCACCAGUACUCGUCACCACAAACAUGGGUGGGGCUUUGUGCGAUAACACUUGAAGACAGGCUGUCCCUUAUUUUUGUUUUGGAUUUGAUCGCAACUGUAGGACAAGGAAAAAGAAUUUUUGCAUGUUGGGCCCCCAAAUUUUUGUUCUUUCUUCCCAGUUAAACCACAAAAUGAAACUCGGAUGUAAGUAGAGGACAUGCCCUCUGAUUGAAAUCAUCUUGGAGCCUCCUCUGGAUUUGAACACCUCCACCCUGUUGUUCUCUCAGCUGCAUAAUGGCAGUUUAAGCUCAUGAUUGUUGUGUGUAGCCGAUCAUAUCCAGCGGACUUAAUCUUGUAAUUUACAAUUGUUGUCUGGACUAUCUUCCAAAAAACACUUGUCGCAUUUGUUCUGUGGACUCACUACAGAAAUUUCUGUAUGUAACCUUAUUCUUUGAGGUAAAUUUGUUCAUUUUUAAGUGAUGCAGAAAAAAGUCCACAGUAUUGAAAACUUUAUUUAUACCGGUGUAGUGUAGUCAGUAAAUAUGUGCAGAAAAUGCUUUUUGAAAUUUAAGGAAAAAAAUAAAUAUCGGUCUUGAAUCAUUACUACCUGUUGUCAAGGGAAAAUCUUGGAGACCUUCAACUUGAAAUGCAGAGAUAAAGCUGUUUCUGCUGGAAAAACGACAUCAAAACUGGUGCCAAACUCUCUGGUUUCUUCCGUUUUUUUUUUGUUGGUUUCUUCGUGAUCAAGAGAGAAUGUGAACCUUCAAGGAUUGGGAGACCUUGCUGUGCUGCAGUGCAGAAAUCUGUUUCUGCACUGUUGGUUGUGCUAUGUCAGAGUUCCCUAGCUUGGUGGCCAGUUGCACAAAGUUAAACACCUCCUGCAUUUCCCUUCAUCAUUUUUUGGUUUAAGGAUUUUGCACUGAGCAUCUAGACACAUUAAUGUCAAUAUCAUAUUUAAGGGAAAUAUCUGUGUUUAAUUCUUAAGGUAUAUAGGACAUGGACUUGGUCCACAGGAUCCCCUGUCUUAAUUGCAUUGGCUAAUUAACUAAUUUACUUAUCUCUAUUGCUCUAAUACCAUUACAGCUUUUCCAAGGUUGGACAGGAAUGGAAAUUAUGUGGGGUUUAAAGUGCCCUCUCGUUUGAUUUAGAUCUGGAAUUACAGCACUGGAAGUCGAUACUAAAAAUGCUUUGAAUAGGCGAGACUGAUGUUAUUCCCUCUUGUAUUUCUAAAUCCAUUUCUGGGUCACCUCCUAGGGGCUGGUAACUAACAAAUGAUUGAAAAAACCUGAGGACAGUCAGAUGCAGUGUGGUUUUCUCAGUGCUUUUGUGGAUAUGAACAAGUAGGGUGUUUCUGAAGCCAAGGACUGAAGAAAGGCAGCUUCAUUAAGGGGAUUAACCCUCCAUCCCAUAUGCUUUAUCCAUCACAGGGUCGCGGGGGAGCUGAACCAAAUAUGGCACAGACACAGUGGCUCUCUAGGAUCAGGAUUGGAUUCUCCUGUUGUGGGAUUUCUAAAUAAUGUCUAGAUAUUAAGAUUUCCAUUUCAGAAUGGGCUGCAUGGUGGCAUAGUGGUCAGCAUCGAUGCCCCUCAGCACUGUGGCUCUGGGUUCAAUUCCAGACCUGGGGUGCUCUGUGUGGAGUUUGUAUGUUCUCCCCCUGUUCUCAUGGGUUUCUACCAGGCGUUCCUGGUUUCUUUCCCACAGUCCAAGGGCAGAUGGUAGAUUAGACCCUGUUGUCAAUUGCUCCAGUCCUAGAUGGUGCAUAUUCACUGUUUGCCAGCCAAAUUGCCACCGUGAUGAUGGUGACUGUGUACUUUUCUGACAACCUUCAUUUCAUUUUCUGCAAAGAAUACUUGAAGAAAUAAGCAUAGGUUUUGGAUUUCCUUUGCUGCUAUUGUCCACUGGGGGAGGGGGGCUUGACGAAUGCACAGUACACAGUGUAACCAUAAUCUGUCAUUGUACUGCACUCCUGCUUUUAAAUGUUUUACAAAGAAGGAAACAAAAACCUUAAAGAUCCAAGUCCUUAUUGUCAAUUCUUUUGUAUGUGUGUGAGCCUGAGCUUUUGUUAACGUGUUCAUAAAUGUUUCCCUGUAACGUUAUACAUACUGAUGCAAUUUGUGGACAGAUCCUGCAGUGCAGUGGGUGGAAGACAUGCCCAGCGUGUAGCAGUUAAUUUCUCGGACAAUAUUAAGGAUGAAGAAGGGUUGAGGCAAUAAAACACUGGAAAAACCAGCUUGACAAGUUACAGUGGAAUCCAUCAUGGGGAUUUAUAGACACUUCUGUGACUGGCCCACAGCAGAUACAUCUUGGGUGACUGCAUUGAGAAGCAAGGGGAUGGAUUUACAAGUGGGCGCUAUUGUAAAGUAAAAUACUACAAUUCCCUCCAUUACUGGAUGAAGCUGUGUAUGGAUAUUGCUUAUUGCUUAUGAAUGUCCAUGUAAUACGUGGAAUGCAAUUUCUUGUUUUCUGUGUGAAAUCAGAGAAAGCAGUUCAAGCAGUUGGUUAAUGUCUCCAGGCGUGUUAAAUUGUCCCCUAUAAGAGGCUGCUUUAAUGAUCUGUGCCAAGUCUAGCUCGCUGUGAUUCUGUGGGUGUUUGGUCCAUGACAAGUUUCUUGCAAAUCUUCAGGAAACGUAAGCUGAUGAUUUACAGAAUUUCUGCAUGUUGUUGCUCUGAAGAAGGAAAAGGUUUCCAGAAUUUCUGGCCCUUGUCCCAAGUGGACUUUUUGCAGGCAGUUCAGUCAAAUCCCCAAAUCCCAACAUUUUCUCAGUGGAGUGGGGUCACAUCGAUUUUGCCUUCUUAGCUGGGAUCUUAACGAAAGGUGUCAAAGUCCAAUCCAGAUGGUCUUCUUAAUUUUGAAUGAUUUAACUGACAAGAACUGCAAACACUUCUGUGCAGGCCUGGGGAGACUUGGCAGCUCCAGCUGUCUCUCAAAUCAUUAGCUUUAAAACAUGUUUGGAAAAAUGACUGUACUGCUUAUCCAAUCAUUCAAUUGGUUAAUUAAGAGGAUUAAUUGAAAGGAAUGCCAGAAUACUGGCCAGGGUCACAAGUGUCUUCAACCCUCCGUAUAUACCUCCUUUCCCAGAAUUUUUACUGUACAGCAAUCUGCACACUUGCUGUGAAGUCAAACUAAAUGUGUUUUGUACAAAGGACAUUACUAAAAAAAAUACCUUCCAGAUGUUUCUGUGUUCCUUGCUGUUUGUUGAAGUGAGUUUUUGUUUCACACAUGCACUUAUAUAAUUGAAUUUUUCAUAGUGCAUGACCUUUUUGAUGUGAAAGGUUUUCAAGGAACCAAAUGAAGCUGCUUGGAAUCAGUUUAGUUUUUGUCGUUUUCAAAUUAACAUCUUGCGAUUCUCCUGGGACGGUGUCACACUCACACAUGAAUUAUCACAGCUGUGGUUGUGGCCAACAUUCAUUUAUACUGUAUUUUAAUAUUGUAGUGGAUCUGUCUGACAUUUUCUAUUAUGAAAAUACAAUAAUUCUAUAAAGGGAUGACUUCACUCGUUCUCUCAUAGUUAUGAUGGAACAGGAACUCUCAAGUUGCAGUUUUUACCAAACUGGCAUAAUGAGACUAUAAAAUUAGAUCUUCCUUUUCUUUUUCACUGUAUCUAACUUGGUGUCCUUUGUAAAGUCAUAGGUGAUCUAUGGAAAUAUGGUUUCUUGGAUGCAGUUCAGAUGUUUGUUGACUUUCUUUGUAAAUGGAUGUUAGAAUAUACUCAUUCACUGCCCAAAAGUAUUGAGGUGGAUGGCUUGAAACAUUUGACAGUACUUGGGAAAGAGAUAAGCAAUAGUGUUGAUAUUGUGCACAGUGGAAAAAUUCUUUUUCAGCCCAUAUCCUGUAUGUUAAAAUGGUCUGUUGCUUUUGCUUUUCCUUUGUAAUAAAAGUUUUGUUACCAUU